GUGAGGAUUUUCCGUCACCGUUAAUGAACUUGCAGCUUCCUUUAUGAUUGGCAAACCCGGUUUAGCAGUGGUCUCCUUUGUGAUCAACAUUGGGUGAUAGUUUUUCCGAUUUCCUAGCUGGUUUGAUCGGUUUAGUGACUUGGCAUUGAAGUGAACCCUAAUCUCUCAAGGUCGAGCUGCUAUAUCUACCGUCCUUUCCAACUCCAUUCCUAGUUUUCUUUGCCAAGGUUAAAAACAAAGCUUGACCUAGAUACUGUGUAACAUUUGCUAUCCGCUGCAAAAACAAAAACCCUAAAGUUACUUGAGGUACAAGGUAUCUAGAAACGCAAACCAAUCAGUACGGUUCACUGUAGCUUUAUGUUGUAUCCUAGCGAGAUUCUCCUUCAUUGUUUCAAAACCACCACACCAAUCAACUUCUAGCUUGUGCAGCUUGAUCUUUAGCUUCGACCGAUUCUUCUAUCUUUUGGUGGAGUCUACCUUGUGUCAUAUACAAUAAAAGCAUCUGACUCUGUAUAUUGUACAAGUUCCUCGUCGUAAUCUGUAUGGUCUUUUUCUCGCCUCAAAAGUUCAAGAAACCCCAAUAUUGGUGCAGUAAAACAGUUCCAUAGUUCUAGUAUGCUUGGAAAACCUUCUGAAUGUGAAUAAUAGCCAUCUCUAUGGCACAAGAAGGUUAAUGAUGAGUGGUGCAAGCAAAUGGCGAGAGAAAGAGGAGUUGUCUGGUGAAUAAACCCAUAUUGGUGGUUGACAUUUUAACCAAAGGGUUAGUGUGAGGAAACUAAGCAAAACAAAGGACGAGAGUCGGCAAUAACUGGUAGUUUAAGGGUCAUUUUGCUAUUAUUGAGUUGUUGGGGUUGAAUUGUUGAAGUUGCUAAAAUACAAGGGUCGAUAAAAAAAAGUAAAAAGUCUUAAAUUGCUCCCGGCGGGGCUCGAACCCGCGACCUUCGGCUCAUAAGACCAACGCUCUAACCAACUGAGCUACGGGAGCUUCUUGUUUGUUAGUAUCCAUAUAUUAUUGUUGUCAAUUCUCACUCGUCUCUUAUCUUUUUUUUCAUGAAUUAUGUUAUUCUAUGUUAGUAUUGUUGAGCACUUGGUACAAAGAAUUCAACGCCAUAGAUUUUGCUCAGAAAAAUAACACAUUAUUCAUGAAGACAUCUGCACUAGAAGCUUUGAACGUGGAUAAUGCUUUCACUCAACUACAUUCUCAUAUAUACCGAUGUGUCAAACCAAAAAAGAUUUGAAUAUCGGAGAUGCUAAUCCGGAUACUCUCCCUACAGAACAGAGUAUCAAUUUAGGGUUUAAGGACAUAAAGGUUCAGAUGCUGCUCAACUUGAUGUCCAUUUGUUCGGUAACAAUUAG